rnacentral:rRNA from 1 species
AGCGAACGUUUGCGGCGGGCCUAACACAUGCAAGUCGAACGCACUAGCAAUAGUGAGUGGCGCACGGGUGCGUAACACGUGGGUAAUCAACCCUUCAGCCUGGGAUAACGACUCGAAAGGGUCGCUAAUACCGGAUACGGCGCGAGAGGCUUCGGCUUCUCACGAGAAAGCCACGCAAGGGGCACUGAAGGACGAGCCUGCGGCCCAUCAGCUAGUUGGUGAGGUAAGAGCUCACCAAGGCUAAGACGGGUAGCUGGUCUGAGAGGAUGAUCAGCCACACUGGAACUGAGACACGGUCCAGACUCCUACGGGAGGCAGCAGUGGGGAAUAUUGCGCAAUGGGCGAAAGCCUGACGCAGCCACGCCGCGUGAGCGAUGAAGGCCUCGGUCGUAAGACUCUGUGGGGAGAGACGAAGAAAGACCUGUGAAGAGCAGGCCUUGACGGUAGUCUCCUUACGUCAAGCACCGGCUAACUCCGUGCC